UUAAUUAACUUUUCUUUUUGAGAUAACAAAAUCUCUGGUGUUGAAAACAAUGAGGUUUGAGGUUCAAGCUUGAAUAUCAAGUUACAAUUAAUAGAUGGUCUUAGGACAUAUCAAAGAUUUCUUUAAAGACAAAAUAAUAAUUACAAGCAAUAGGAAUUUAUGGUAUUCAGAACAUGUAACCUUCGCACAUGAAGCUUGAGUCCAGCAAAAGAUGCAGCUAGCCAAAACCCCACAAAAUCUCUGUCAACAUGUCUGUUCUACUUCAAUAUUAAGCACAUUCAUAGCGGUAUCAACAGCUUACAGCUCCAAAAUAUUUUCCCCAAAAAGAGUUGAGAGAUUUCACUGAAGCUAAUUUGUGACUUGUCACUGCUCAAAUGUUCUAUAACACGAUAUGAUUAUUCUAGUAACACAAAUCCAAUAGCAUGCAACAUAAUCUACUCUCUAACAUUGUGCAUUAGUAAAAUAAAACAGAGUAAAAAGAGACACCAUGCCUGUGAAUCUCUUCUUUUCCCCCUACCACCCCUUUUUUUGGUGAAGUCCAUCAAAUGAAAAUGCAGCAUGACCACGUUGGCCACUGCCACUGCCAUUACUUCUUCAACUGUGCCUUUUGUUGCAGGAAAUAUUCAAGUGAAAGAUUGGAUUAUAUAAUUCAAGAUUCCAAUAAACCUGAGCUGCAAAGGUUGCCUUCCACUAGCCUAUCAGAGACUAUGCUUUCUAUUUUCCUAGUUUUUUAAUCAAAAUUUUGCAAGAUUUAUUUAUGGAAAUCUUGGACAAAAUUUUAUGUAAGAUACCAUAAAGCCAAACACAAUCUUUUUAAUUCUCAGCAGCAACAUUUAAAGUAAAAAAAUGGAAGCCAUAUGAAUAUAACUAUGUUUGGUACAAGGAACAAUUAUUUCAAGCUUUCAGAAAUGCUACCAAGAAAUUGUAAGAGAACUUUACCUGGUCACAGAAUAUGUCUAACAUACUACCACCAACUGUCUUCAGCACGAUUGUUAUGAAGUAGCUUUUGAAUCGGAAGAUUCCAGCUUCCACCAGGCACCAUUAUUUUCAUUCUUGAUACACUCUCAUCAUCCCAAUCAAGGCUUCUUCUCCAGCUCUGGAUUAUAAGUCCACUCCGACAUCUUCAAACAUCUCGGUCCUUCCAUUUGCCAACAACCGAUAUGGCUUCCUUCCUUGCCUUCCUCAUUAAUAUAUCACUCGAAGGAAAAAAAGCAUCAGCAAUUCUCUUCAACGCCUCAUCGUUUAUAACCCCCCAAAAAAAGGGUCUUCAGACACCUCAACUUUGCCUUGUGCAAAACCUCCCCAAAAUCUGAAUUAUCCAACACAACAGCCAGAUACUCAAUCCUUCUUUUGUCCAUCAUAUCCACCGUAUGAUUCCUCAACAAAAUAUCUACAGCUUGUGGCUUAUCUAACACUGUCUUGAUCCAAAACCCCGCUCUUUUCAACUCAUCUGCCAAACCAUAACCCACUUUUGGAGUCAAAAUUGUCCUUGCAGCCCUUUUAUAUUUUUCCAUCUCCAUCGAAUACUUGCCACUCAAAUGGAAUUACCAGACAGGAAUCCCAGUAACAAGUCCACUCAACUUCUUCUCAUCCGAUCCCUCUUUCACUCUAGCGGAAACAUUAAUAACCAUUCACCAGCCACAAAUUACCCAAGUAAGUACUCGUGUCGUCAACACUUACCCUUCACUUCAUCUACGCAAACAUGAAUUCAAAUUGAUUAUUAGCUAGUGCUCAAGCGAAAGCCAAAAUAAAUUAAAUAUGUGUGUGCGUGUGUGUUAAAAGAGAAACGGUAGCGAAGUUAUUAUACAAUAAAGCAAACCAAAAUAAAUUCUACACUCAUGUGGGUGUUUCGCUCGCAAAAUCUGGACAAGAAAAAAUAAUAUUGAUACAAUCUCCAAAUAAAGAGCAUUCCUCUUGGUAAAAUAGACAAAUCCUAUAAAUUUUGAUUAAUGGUGCCAAAUGAAAGAGUUGUAAUUUCAUGUACAUUUUGUUAACAUGCAUAAGGGUACAAAAUAGAUAUUAAUGUGACAAAAACAAAGCUAAUCACAAUGAAUGAUAAGGUUUAGAAAUCCCAGUUUGUGUAAAAGAAAGAUAACAAAAUUAAGGAAAACAUAAGCACAACAAAAUUUGACUGAUUAUUAAAAAUGAGAAAUGAGUUAUAAUGAAAAUUUUGGCUUUGUGGUGAAAUAAAUUGGGAAGUAUCCAAAGUUCGCAUGUAAAUAAUAUAAAUGAUAAGAAGACGAAGGGAACAAAAUGAUAAUAAGCAAGCCAAAUAUUAAAAGCCAAAUAUUCAAGUUAGUGUCUCGCUAAUCAUUUUAGACGUAUCAAUUACAAAGGGAGGCCAUCUAUUUAUAGUAAGCGUACUGUUGCGGACCGCCCAAUUCGCUAGCCCAAUUGCCCACAAUUUCAGGCUAGAGAGCCAACACAAGGCCAAGAGUGCUAGCUUGGCCCAAUUCCGGAAAGUUCUAUGCAACUCUAGCACAUGUGAGCUUGUAAAUACUCUAGAAUUCUCUAUACAAUUCCAGCACAUGUAAAUAGCUAGGAAGUGGUAGAAUUCUCUAGAAUCUCUAGAGCUUGGCAAGCCUCCCCUAUAAAUAUGGGAUGGCAUUAGGCAUUUGUAUCCAACAAACACUACAACAAGCAACUCAAGCAUUAUAAUCUCUUUUGUGCAAUACAAGUUUCUUCUUUGGCUCAAUUGCUCUCUCUUCUCUAAUCCGAGAAGUUCUAGGCUUACUUAGCAACAUUCGGCAAAGUUGUCUAAGUGCCGCACGGGUUAGCUGCGCAAAACACUCAUCCCGUGACAGUACGCCUCUAAUGCUUUGCCAGGUGUCCAUUGAUAAUAUCACAAGGAAAAUUAAAUUGGUGUAUGUGUAUUACACCUCCUAAAGUCAUGUUAAGAUAGUUAGCACUCUUGGUUAAGUCUGCUAGAAUUGCAAACGUGUAAAGCUGAGUCAGCAAGUUAGUUAAGGUUAUUAUGAAUGCUUAGAUUCAGCUCAUGUAGAUUGUGUAUACAACUUUCUAAUAUCCUUUAGAUCUCAAUAUGAAUACUUGUAAUCAACAAAUACAAUAAUAAGAGUCAUCAUUCUUCAUUUUCUCUCAGUUUCUCUCAUAUUUUCUCUGCAUCCAAACACAAUAUUCUCAGUUCUUGACUUAGUAUCAGAGUCGCAGUUUAAUUGACGUGGCUUCGUUAAGCACAAAUUCAAAACAAAUCAGUCUCCUUCAUCCUUUACCUUCACAAAUUCGAUCAAACUGGACAGAUCUAACUAUACAAUCUGGAAAUCUCAGAUCCUCUCUUCAGUGCGUGCCAAUGGACUUGAAGGCUUUCUUAAUGGAACUAAAAUUUGUCCAGAUCAGUUACUUACUCAAGAGAUUGAAAGUUAUGGUGCUGAAAAUGCAGUUGGUGAAAGCUCAGCUGAUAGAUCUCAGGAGAAUCCAGCCUUUGUUGCUUGGAAAAUGUAGGAUCAAUUGUUAUUAAGUUGGCUCAUGUCCUCCAUCAGUGUUGAGAUACUUAGUCUUGUGGUAAAUUCUGAUUCUUCUCAUAAACUUUGGACUAAUCUUGAAGAAAAUUUUUGGAUUAGAAACUAUGGCUAAGAAAGCACACUUAAAAAUGAUGUUAAGCAAUCUCAGAAAGGGAUCAAUGACAAUAACUGAGUAUUUUGCCAAACUUAGAGCUGUAACUAAUAAACUUGCUCUAACUGGUAGCCCUGUUUCUACUCUAAGACUUUAUUACUCAUCUAAUCUCUAGAUAAGGCCAGCCAUACUACCCUGUUGUUUUGUAUAUUGAAGCUAAUAUGAUGAAAAUAUUUGUCAAUGAAGCCUAUUCUAUGCUUUUAACUCAUGAAGCAAGAAUUAAAUUUAAUCAUCCGAGUGCAAAUAAAGAAGCAAAGUUGAAUUAUGCUGCUAACAUAGCUUAGGCUGGACCUAGUAAUAACAAUAAGAAUUCUAGUAAUCAAGCUAAUUACUAUCAGGGAAACCAAGGUAACGGGAAUAGAAAUGCUCAUUGGUGUGGUAACAAUGGAGGAAGAGGUGGCUUUGGCAGAGGUUUUUCAGGGCAAGGAAGGGGUAAUUAGAAUAAUGGUGGUCAUUGGAACAAUGGACCUUGGAGUAGUAGUCGAGCAGGUUAUAACCUUUUUAUAAGAAACUCAAAAAUGUAUUAAUGAUGAAAAUUUUAAAACAGAUAGUGGACCAGCUGUUCACUAAGAAAACAAAAAACUGAAUAUUCGUGCUAUAAAAAGGCACAUCCAAUCUCACCCCUACAAAAGGCUAGAAUCAGCGACAAAUCCCUAUCUCAAAACCCCAUCCCAGUUUAGAUGAAUGAAGAAAAAAGAUGAAUCUUGAAACUCCUUAGAAACUGAAGCCCAAAGUGAAGCAAGAAGAUGAACUCUAUCCCAAGCAAGCAAUAUGGCAUAUUUCUCCAUUAAUGGUUCAAAUAAAGUGAAUGGCUUUCUCUGAUGAAUGGGAAAUUUUCAAGAUCAAUAGUCAAACUCACGUAAAGUAAACGGACUUAAUUCUCAAAGGCUACUCAUUCUAAGUCUUAAAGAAAAUUUUUCUAAUUUCUAAAGAUUAUAUGGGGAAAAAUCAUUAUUUUCUAAAAUGGAAAAUUUGAUACGGUGUUUAAUGUUUGAUCACAAUCAUAAUAUGAGUACUAACAAAAACAUCUUUAAUCGGCAUGGUGCGAGUAAAACACUAUCACUUUAUCUUUGAUAGAAAGAUGAUAAUAUAAGGAGAUGGUGAAAUGGUUUUGGUCUCUGGCAGCUUGUAAUCAAAAGAAAACAAAAAACUACACUAUUAUUAAUGAUUAUCGAAGCUACAGAAGUAUCAAAAUCGGAAAGCAAACAAUUGCAAAACACAUCAAUGACUGAAGGUUAGGUUCUAAAACUUCCGUAUUUAAUUUUCAGAGCAUGUUAUGUAUUAUUCAGAAAUAUGAUUUCACUUCAGGCACUAGACCAAGACGCAUUAAACAUAAAACGCGGCGUUUUCAUGGACUAGUACAUUCCAUGCUUCGAAAGUUUAUGUUUUAGACUGAUUGGUUUGAUACAUUAUUUGUUUAUUGUGUUUUUCUUGCUUUAAAUAUUAUGUUGGAUUGAUAAGUUUUGUACACAUUUAUAUUGCUCGCAGUAAAUAAUUUAUGACAUUUAAAAAACUAUCAACCGUCUAUCAAAAGAUUUCUACUAUAAAUAUAUAUACAAAAAAACUUUUAAUUUGGUCAAUUUGUUCUCUUAUUUAUUUUUGUUCUAUUUCUCUUUUCCUUCCCUUUCAUUUUAUUGUUUUAUGGUACAAAAUAAAAAAAUAACCUUAAAAUUUAAGGGUAAAAUACUCAUUUUACUAAAAUUCCGUUUAAUAUUAUAAAGCUGUCAAAUGUCAAUGGCAUAGUACACGAGUGAUACAAAUUAAUAACAAUAAAUUGAAAGUUUUUAUGCAUUUUCCUUUUUUUUUUUUUAUAGUCGAUUGAGAUUUCCCUUCAUAUGUUUAAACCUGUUGAUUUCCUCAACGCUCAUCCUGUUGGAAAACAACUCCUCAGUACUUGGAGUGUCUACUCCGUAGUAACAAGAAGCUAUGAUUGGUGGGCUUGCAGCGUACCCAAGUGCAGCCACCACUCCAGAAUCUGGUACUGCAAUCACGACAUCACACUCAACAGGAGCCUCGGUAGCAAGUACUUCCCCAAAAUGAUACCUCGACUCAUAAACAGACCUUUCAAAAACAACAGAAUUAGGCAAAGCAAAAUAAAUAUGCUUAAAGAUGCACUGCUUAGGUUCAGGGUGAGGCAUCAAACAAGGUGAUUGAACCCCAUCUUUAUCCACCAUCAAAACUUCACCGGGAUAUACCUCUCUCUCUCUCUCUCUCGAGUGUGGCCUCAAUCAAAUAGUGCACAAGUCUCUGACGCAAAAACCAGAGCACCAUUACUCCUCCUACCCAUCACCAACGGCAUAAACCCAUACGGGUCACGAACUGCAACAAGCUUAUCCUCAGUAACAAACACCAUUGAAUAAGCACCCUCAAGCUUCUCACAAACAUCCACAAUCCUCAAAAAGAACGGCCUAGCUUUCGAUAUCGGAAUCAAAUGGAGAACAACCACAGUAUCAGAACUAGUAUUAAAAAUGGAUCCAUUAUCUUCAAGCUUAGCCCUCAAAGUAUUACAAUUAACUAAUGUGCAACACCAACAGAACCAAACCUGUACCCAGCAACAAAAGGCUGCACAUUCUUAAGCAUAGAACUACCCGCAGUCGAAUAUCUAACAUGACCAAUGGCCAUAUCACCCGGCAAUUGAUCAAGUUUGGACUGAUUAAACACAUCAGAGACUAAACCAACACCAGUAAUAGACUGAAGAGCUUUGUUAUUCACAGCAACUAUACCUACACCUUCUUGGCCACGAUGCUGCAGCGCGUGUAGCGCCAAAUAGCACAAACGCGAGGCCUCUGGGUCACCAUAGAUGCCCACAACACCACACUCCUCGCGGGGUUUACCGUCGUCGUCAUCAUCAAAACUGCCAAAACCGUCAUCUGGGUAUUCUUUAUUUGUGGUGAAAAACUCAGAGAUGGGUUUUUUGAUAGAACAGUGAAGUUUUUUUUGUGGGUUAAAGAUUGUUGUUUCUGAGGAAAAAAAGGGUUUUUUUUGCAGGGUUUUGGAGAAAAGAGAAAGAUGGGUUUUUUGCGACGGCUUAGGGUUAACAGAUGGAGAUGGGUUUGAGAGAGGGCAGAUGUUGGCGGUGCCUGUUGUGGUGGCUGCCAUUAAUGGCUGAAUUUAUUAUAAACAGGCAAAAUUAUGGUACCAUUGUUGCAAUCAGCCAUUAGAUUUAUAGUUGUAUAGUUACAUUAACAAGAUUCAAUGGCUGAAAGCAACAGUGGUACCGUACUACUGUUGCAACAUAGCUGGACCCAUUAUAAACACUUGAAGUCAAAGUUAAUGUUUUAAUUGUUAAGAAAAGUUAGAAGAAGAAAUUUUUGUAUAAGAGAAUUGGGUUUAAAUUUAGAAUUCUUUGGGAGGAAAUGAGUCUAAAUUCCAAUAAUAUAAUUCAGCACUAUUUAUAUAUAUCAUUAGUUGGGUGAAAAAUUAAUUUCCCUCCUUUGAUGUGAUUUUCAUCAUUUAUUUUCAUAUAACGGUAAUUUUUUGUUUAGAGUGAAGUUAUUGGCACCAUUUCAUUAUCCUUAUAAAAUCCUACUUCAAAUAAAAUUACACUUAAAGACAAUAGAAUUAAAUAACAUAGUUUUUUUUUCAAACAAAUUACUCACGUUCAUAAUUUUUUUUCUUCUAAUUUUCUACAGAUUGCUUUGUAUCUAACUAAAAUAAAUUGUACAAAUUUAGAAUAAUCUAUUAUUCUUUUUAAAUUUCUUAUUGAUUAAAUAUUUGUAUGCUUAAGAUAGUUUUAAAAUUAUAAGAUAAAAUAUAUAUAAUUUAAGCCAAUGAUUAAUAUUAAAAAAUUUAUCUCUCAUAAAAGUUUUUAAUUUGUGCGUAGGGUAAUAAUAAAAUUGCAAAAGAAAUGAAAAAUAGCAUAGCACUAUUUUGAGUUUAAACAAUAAAAAAUUAAAUGAAAAAUUAGAAGUGUAUUUAAAAAAAGGAUAUUUUUGAAAAUAAAUAUAAUUUAAAAAAAAAAGAGUUUCAUGAGGGGUGCAAUAGUUCAACUCUUUUGUUUAUAAGUUUUAAGAUGUUGGUAUCCGUAGCUUAGCUUUUCCCUAAUUAUUAUAUUAAAAUGUAACAACAAUUAUGAUCAACCCUAAUUUCAUGGAGGUCAAAGAUUUUGGUCAUGCCACAUUAUUUUUUUUUUGUUUUUAAAAAUAUCAUUUAUUUAUUUUUUUUAAAGGUAAAGAAGUGGGUAAAGUUCAAAUUCAACUUUUAUCCCUUACGUCAUGGCCCCUAAGAUUUGAACUUAGGUGACCAAAUUUAUAAUAAUAGGCAUCUCAAAUUUCAUUUCUAAUGAUAUGCAAUUUAUUAAGUGAUUGUUAAUCUUUAUAAGAUCCGAGUGAAUUAAUUGUAUUAUUUCACUACUAAUUGAUGAGUAUCAUAUUAUUUGGAAUAACUUGUGAAUAAAAAAAUUGUGAUGGAUGAAAUAUUCUUUUGAGAAUUUAUUGACUUAUCUCAUUUAUGAUUUAUUGUUGCAUUUAGGUGAUAUUGCAAAUAAUUUUUCCGAUAAUAUUAUUGUUUUGACGAGUAAGUUUGGAGUAAAUAAUACAUAUGACAAGUGUGAGGUUUGUUAUUGCAUAUAUUUUGUGGAUCCAUUUUAAAGCAAAAAAAAAAAAGGCAUUUCGAUUCAUUAUGAUUCCAGAUAAUAUAUAUGUAGAUCCUCACACAAUUGAUUAAAUAUUUAUAGUAGGAUAGAGUGAUAAAUAGUUUUACAAAAUUAUUGGAAUUAACUAUUUAAUACAUGAGAUCUAUCUCACUAAGGAUAAAAGAUUGCUGCUUCAAAAGCUUGACGUUGCUGGCAACAAAUUUAACACAAAAGUUUAAUUAACUAUCCUAGUUGAGAUAAUAAAAUUUCAUGUUGAAAACAAGAGGUUCAAACCUUCUCAUUCAAAAAAAUAAAGCCAAAAUAUUACAUCUUCCAGCACAUAUAAAAGAUUUUUUCUUCAAAGGCAGACUGAUAAUUCAGGGUAAAAAAACAAAAACAAAAAAAACAAAAAAAAAAAACAAAAGGAAUAUAUGCUAUUCAAGACAGGUAUACCUUGGACAUGAAGUCUGAGUCCAGAGCAAGAAGCAUUUAGCUGAUUUUUCAAUUUCCAAAACCCAACAAAAUCUUUGUCAAAAUAUAUGAUCUAGUCCCAUAUUAAGCACAUUCAUAGUCGUAUCACCAGGUUCAAAAUAUUUUCCCCAGAUAGAGAUAGAGAUUCCAUUGAAGUUGAGUUGUGACUGUCCCAACAUUUUGUAAUUAUAUGGUUCAGUAUACCAUGCCUAUGAAUCUUUUUUUUUUCUUUUUUUCCAUGUUUCGAAGUCUAUCAAAUGAAAAUGUAAUUAUAUGGUUCAGGACACCAAUAUGCCGGAGCUGCAAAGGUUGACUUCCACUAUCCUAUCAGUGUCUAUACUUUCUAUUGAGUUUCCUUGUUUUUUUUUAAAUUGCGAGAUUUAUUUUUGGAAAUCCUUGACACAUUUUAUGUAAGAUACCAUAAAGCCAAAUACAACCUUUUUUAUUCUCAGCAGCAACUUUUUUUUUCCUUUUAAAAAAAGGAAGCCAUAUAAAUAAUGCUUUAAACAUUAUUUGCAACAAGAAACAAUUAUUUCAUGCUUUCAGGUAUUAGAAACUUCCCAAAAAUGCUAGCAAGAAAAUGAAAUGGAACUUUACCUAGUCACGGAAUAUGUACUGCUGUUAGCACAAUUGUUAUGAAGUGGCUUCUGCAUCAGAAGAUUCCAGCUCCCACCAAGCAUUGUUAUCUCUCUUCUGAAUACAAUCUACAUCGCUGGGCAUGAGUUAUAUCAUUAAUGUCUGGAUCCUCACUUACAUCAUCCCAAUCAAGUGCUUUUUCUCCACAUUUGGAUUAUAAGUCCAAUCUCUUCAAAACAUCCUAGUCCUUCCAUCACAACUGAUACGACUUCCUUCCUAAUUACUUUCCCAUUAAUAAAUCGCUCCAAGAAAAAAAAGCAUUAGCAAUUCUCUUCAACGCCCCAUCACUCAUAUCCCCACAACAACCAUCUUCAGCCACCUCAACGUUGCCUCUUGAAAGACCUCCACAAAAUCCGAAUCAUCCGACACAACCACCAAACACCCAAACCUUCUUUUGUCCACCAUAGCCACCAUAUAAUUUCUCAACAAAACAUCGGCAUCUUGUGGCUUAACUAACACCAUCCUGACCCAAAACCAUGCUCUUUUUAACUCAUCUGCAAAACCAUAACCCACUUUUGGAGUCAAAAUUGCGCUUGCAGCCAUUUUAUUUUUUUCCAUCUUUAUUGAAUAGUUGCCAACCAAAAGCACUCUCACCUUCCCUCUAGCUGAUUCUAUUUGAUUCGACCUUUUCUUUUGUUCACCCUCAUGAAUUUGCCUAAAAUGAUUAACAAGUUUGUCAUUAUUAUAAAACCUCCUUCCACAAUCACCAAUACAUACGGCUUAGCAUGCCUAAUUACACCCUUGAUUUCUAAUUGGUUAAACAAUUCUCUUUCUUUCUUUGCUCUCUUACAACUUGAGGCAUAUAACUAAACGCGUGGCUAUUAGCAUUUGCCACCAUGCAUUUAACAACCCCAAAUGAAGAUAUUAAUUUUUUUUAGUUUAAUUGCUGCUUCAAAAUGGGGUACUGAAUUUGGAUUUUGUUAUCCAAAUACCAAAAAUUUCCCAUAUUGUGCUGGACAGUUUUUGGUUCUAAAGUUGAUGACUGGUUUUGCGAAUCAGGCUUUAAAUGAGAACUUCUAAACAAUAAGACAAAUGAGUUUUGAGUUUCUAAUCUUGUAAACUUUGUUCUAUUGUAUAAGUUAUGAAAUCACUGAAACAUCACUACAUCUGCAGGUCUUUAUGUGUCAAUGAACUGCAGAAGCUGAUGAUCUACCUGUAGCAGACUUCUAUUGCCCCUGCCGUUCUAGGAAGACAAACAAGUUCAGGAGCUACUUAUGGACCAAACUCAUAAUAUUGCCACUGCAUACCCAGUAACAGUAAUCAAGUAACAAGUCAAAACGAGAAUCAAACGUAGAAUUUUGAAAUCCAUACGAACUCUAACGUAUUAGAAUGAAAGAAUAAGGACGAUCGAUAAACUAGAAUCAAACAAAAACAUGCCCAGUUAAAAAACGAAGGUAAAUAAAUAAAAAUGGUAUAAAACUGCGAAAGAAAUUAAUAAAAUGAAGAGAAAAUCACAGGAAUCCUAUGAAGAGGAAGGUCAACAAAACCUUCGGGAGCCGAGAAGAUGCCUUUUUUUGUUCACUUUGUGCCUAUACAUACAAUUUUUUUUUUUGUAAUUUUGAAGAAAGUAUUGGUUAAAUAUUGUCAUAACGAAAUAUUAAUAAUAGAUGCUAGCAAUUUCAACAAGGACAAUCUUCGAUUCAAAUGUACCUCUAUGAUAAAGAAAAAGCCAGCUUGGCUAAAUUUUGAGCACCACAUUACAGGAUCUAGGUGCAUGUUUAACUAUGCAAAAUGAAACCUCUAUUAAUUGUAAGUCCCUUGACCUCUGGAACCAGCCAACCAGUCUCUUUCCUGUUAGACAAACUUCCAUCGAUCAGACUAAUAAUAUUUACUAAAUCAUGUUCUACAGUUAAUGGAGUUGGACCCAAGGCAAUUGUUAGAAGUCCGCCUAGACAUAGAGUGCGCUUAGAAGUGGGAUGCUUAGAAAUGGGCCGCCAACACAACCAGCCAACCGUAGUGUGCUUAGCAAAUCACUGAAGCCCGACCCAAGAUCUAGAACUAUCUACAAAUUAUAAAUCAGCUAAAAGUUUCUAAGUUUCUCUACAUAGGUCCCUAGGAUAUUUAUGGAAGUUGCUAGGAAGUUUCCUCCCCUAGAACUCUAAUACCUAUACCCUCUCAUUUGCCCACCAACCACACCACACAGACAAACACUCUAGCAUACACACAAGCUCUCUAGCUUUUGUAAAAAGCUCUCUUGUAUAUUUUCUCUUUGUGAGUAAUAAAAUCAUAUUUAGCCAUAUUGCUACACUUCUCUCUAGUAUUUUCUACAAGUGUUCUUGCUUUGCUAGUUUGAGGAGUGUUCUAGGCUUGCUUAACAACUUGUUCGCUAUAACGACAUCUUGGUCACAAAACAUGGACAUGCAAGAAAAAAAUAAUAUUGAUACGUUCUAAAAAUAAUACGCGUUCUUCUACAGUGAACCAAAAAAUUUAGGCUAAUGGUAGCAAGUGAAUGAUUUCACGUGCAUUUUGUUGACAUGAACGCAAAGGACUUUUUUUAUAGUUUAUAUUGUUUAAUAUAACAUUUGAAUUGUAAAAUAGGGGUACAAAAUAGAUACACGAAGUGAUAAAACUAAGCUGAUUAUAAUAAAUAUUGAAUUAUAAGAUUUAGGUUUAAUCAGAAAGACAUAAGUGGCGCACAAAGUCACGAAUUGAUAUCAUCCACGAUGCAAGUUCAAACAACUGCAUAAUAAGUUACCCCAAGCUAAACUAUUAAUCUAGUAACUAUUCCAGUCGAUGUGGGAUAAUUUUCCUAUCACCAUCUAUCAUGUGCAAGCUGAAUUUUUUGCUUGGUCGUUACAUGUGGUAAAGUAAUAUGAAUCCACUUGUGCAUAAAUUUGGCUCCGAUACUACAUAGACGCCUAUGACCCAAAAUUAUACUUAAAGGUUAUCUCAAGAUUUGAGGAUUGACUCAAGCUAAUAUUACUAUUAGCCUGGUAACCUUUUUUGUUUGUUGAUAUGUGAUAUUUUACCUAUAACUUUUAUUAAUCUUUAUGCUUAUGUUUUGUCAUUUAUCCUAAAAUAUAACAUUAACAAAAGUUCCAAAAUUUCCUUCAAGUGAUAUAUUUGAGACAAGUAAUUUGUGCAAUAACUUUGUAAAUUGAUGAGCAAAUUCGGAGAAAAGAAUAUAUGUGCCAAACAUAACGUUUAUUAUUGUGUUUAUUUGUAGAGCUAUUUAAAGCCCAAAAAAAAGCACCGGUCCGUUAUGAUUUCAAAUAAGUUCAAGCCCUAUGUCAUUAUUGGUACAAAAAUGAAUCAGAAAGGUUAAAACCUAUUUUUAUUUAACUUAUAAACUUAGGAAAUUAUCAAAUGUCCACCCUUAAAUUGCGCUAUUAUAAAAAAAUAUUACAACAUUUUCAAGUUGGAUCAUUCAUCCACCAUAAAUUUACAAUCUGCAUCAUUUAUCCACCAAAUCAUUAACUUCGUCAAAAAGUGAUAGACGUGACAAGGGUAAUUUAGACAUUUAACACAAAAAAUAAAAGAAAAAUAAUCUAAGCUUACCAUGUUAUCAAAAUUGCUACAAAAUUUUAAAUUUGUUCAAUUUUCCAAUCUAAGUUUAUGACCUCCAAGAUGUUAAUUGCAGUUUGUAAUUAAUGACUUCAUAAGGAUAAUUUAGACACUCAAUAUGCAAAAUAAAAAAUAAAAUAAUGGCUUAAAACAUUAAAACAAAAAACUACUUUUUAUAAUUGAUAUUCAAUUAAAUAAACAUAAACUCUAUUUUUUCUUAAUUAAAAAUAUUCUAAUUUAUUUUCUCAAUUUAUCUUCAUAAAUUUAUAUUAGUUAUGGUGCAAAGUAAAAAAAUGUCCUUAAAUCCAAGGGUAAAAUAGCAUUUUAUUUAAAUUCUAUAAAUUAUUCUAACAAUGUUAACAUUUUGGUGGAAGGUUAAUAUAAGUUACAAACUUAAAAUAGAAAAUCAAAUAAAUUCAAAAUUUCAAACUAUUUAGGACAAAUUUAGGAUAUAUGGUUAAUAAUUUUCCUCUGUCUUUUUACAUCAGUUGACAGAAGUUACAAACUUAAAAUAGAAAUCAAAUAAAUUUAAAUUUUCAAAUCAUUUAGGGCAAACUUAGGGUAUAUGGUUAAUAAUUUUCCUAUUUUUUUAACAUUAAAUUGAGUUUCAAAGACAUAAUGGUCAAUUUAUUAUAAUUCUAUUAAUUUUUUAAGGGAAGCAAGCGAUAUAAUGGAUGAAUGAUAUAAAUUGUAAAAUUAAGGUGCAUGAACGAUAUAAUUUUAAAGUAUUGUAGUACUUUUAAUAAUAGAACAAUUUAAAGGUGGAUUGGCGAUAAUUUAAACUUUAAUGAAGCAACUAAAAAAUUUUUUUAACAAAGAAAAAUAAUUGAAUGCUUUGUGAAACCAAAAAUAUUUGAAAUGCUUUAAGAAAAAUAAAGGAAAUUAAAUAUCUUUUUAAAAAACAUAAUUGAGUAAAAUCAUUUUACAAAAUGCUCUUUCAAAUGCACAUUCCACAAGCCAAGAAGGAUGGGUGGCUAACAAAAAUCUCACUUUUUAUGAGUUUAUAAAAUCUCACUUUCGCAAAAUCCAAAAAUAACCAAUACUAUCACACAAAAAAUAAAAAGUAUUGCUGUCACGACAUUACACACUUUCUUCGCCGUCUAGAAAGGUAGAACAUUUUGAAGUUCCUCAAUACAAAAUGCGUGCUAUUACUAAAUUGGCCAAAGUUUUAACAAUUGAAGAAAUAGUGAACUCAAAAGGAACAGGUAAAUUUUGAAGUUGAACAAACCUUAAAGUGCAUACAACAAAGCCUUGAAACUUUAGUCUUCACAAUUUAAUCACGCAAUAAUAUUAAGUAUCCACCUAAAAAACAAGUAUAGAGCAAAGCUUGUUAGCUUCUUGGGCAUUAACUAUGAAUGAUGAGUAAAAUUAAAAAAGCAAACAGAGAAAAUUAUAAGAAGAAGAAAAGCAAACAUUUAAAAAAAAAUUAUGAGAAGGAAAAUUUUGGUAGAACUUCGUGGCUCAUCUGUGAAAUUAAUGUCAAUAUGUAUUUUUAUGUAAAUAUGGUCUCUGGCUUUUAGGAUGAAUCAAUCAGCUACCACAAACGAAAACAUGAACCAACUAUAUAUAGAGUCAAUUAAUUAAAGUUCUCAAGAGCUUACCUCUGCUCCAGAAUUCUCGGAAUCAUCAAUCUCCUUCUGAAUUUGCGCGAAGCUUGGGACAACCAAGAAAGCGUCCAGGUGGAACUGGGUUUGGAUAACCCGCAGGCCAAAAGUUGGUGAGGUUUGGUAAAUUUAUCAGUUCUAUGCCCUGAAGUUCAUUCGUAACAAUUUCAUAGUAAUCCGUGACGUCUGCUCCACCUUUAUGCCAGAAUACUUCUUCUAAUUCAUCAUUACCUACUACGAAUAGGUACUUCAGUUUUGGAAGACUUGGAGCUACGCUGAUAUGAAAUAGAUGCUUUAGCUUGGGGCAAAAACAGACAGUGAUCCUUGUGAGUUUUGGGAAACAUACAGGUUGGAGAUGAUCCUCAUCCUCAUCCUCAUCAAUGAUUUGCUCUAAUUCCAAGCAAUUCGAAACAGAUAACUCCUCCAAUUGCAACAGAUUUCGAGCAAGUGUUGAUGAGAGGAGCCGUCUCAGCAUAGUGCACCGCUCUACUGUUAAUCGGGUAAGAUUUUGCAGGCUAAAAUUAUGCGCGGGACCUUCAUGAUAUAAUACUCUCAGUUCUCGAAGAUCUUCCAAUCCCAACCCUUUCAAACAUGGGAAUGGUUUGUUUGCUUGUCCCUCAGCGAUAAUAGAUUCCGACUGAAACACCACCAGUACUCCAAUUUUGCUAAUAUUCAAUUCUUCCAAAUUUUUUAAGCCGUGCUUCAACAGUACUGGAAUCGUGUCGCUCAAAUGGGAACAAUUGUCCACAUUUAGAAUUUUUAAGUUCUGAGACAAAUAAAUAAAUAACUUGAUGUAAUUAAAAUCUAUUAGCAGCUAGGAUUAUCACAUGAUAAGUGACGAACAUCGCAAAAAACAAAGAAACAAAAUCCAUUCAAAAAUAUAAUUGUUGAAUCCAAAUUAAUCUCCAAGACCAAUUUAGAACCCCCAAGACCCACUCUAAGAAGCUUGAUCUUUGUUCUGAAUUUAAUCACUAAAUAAGUUUUGACAAGAAACAAGAGUACCUACAUGAAAUCAAUCACACAGCUAAAGAAAAUCAGAUCACACACUUAAAACCAGGAUUAUAGUGGUUCGGCCAAGUUUCUUGCCCACAUCCACUGUGGAAAACGAAGCAACCCUUUUACUGAUUUCAGAGAACAAGUUACAAAUCUGGAGAAAAUAUGUAAAUGAAUAGAUAGCCUUUGACAACAGAUCCUAUGUCCUUUUAUACUCCAUUCUGACCAAUCCGAAAGAACCCCAAGAAACCAGUUCACGCUCCUGGGUUUCCAGCCAAGAAGAUCUCCAGCUGCUUCCCGCGUGAGCUAACGGUAAAAACCACUUCUUGAAUUUAGCUUUGGGACACUUGUCAAACAUUCACGCAAACUCUUGAUUAAAACACAGAGAAAGCUGCCGUUUUGAGUUAGUGAAACACGUGACACAUCACGUGCAAUACUAACGGAUCCAGCCGACAUAUCGUUUGUGUCAAACAUCUGUUCUGAACUCCAAUGCCUGACAUGUCGUUUAUCCUUGUUGACAAACAGACGACGUGUCAUACAUAUACCUGAGAUCAGAUUUGACUUCAUAAUUCCAACACUAAUAAUACAUAUGUAAACUAAUAAAAUAAUUAAAAAAUAAUAUGGAUUGAUAAUGUGAAGUGAUAUAAAGGUGACAUUAGAUUGUUUGAGAAAAAUUAGUAUUUUAUUAAUUUUUAUGGAUUGAUCAACUAAUUAAUUGAAUUUGAGUAAUAUUAUAUACACUUUAGUAAGUGUUUGCAUCAAUUCUUUCUAAACCAAAAUGAGAUAAGACUUCCAUUUGAACAAUGAUUUUAGGCCCUAAAAUAAAGAAAUUUCCCCAAGAUAUUUGAGCAUUAUUAUUAUCAUCACCACAUCCACGAUCAUCAUCAUCUCCAUAGGACCAAAUAAUUAAUGGUUGAUCAUAAAAUUAAUUGCUAAAUUAUCAUUUUGAGUAAAAUUGAAGGAAAAGAAAAAACAUAAACACAAACAAACAUACCUCUUCAAGAUACUGCAAAUUGGCUUCAAGUUCAGUACUGCUGACGGUCAAGUUAGAACAGCGAAUAAGGUCUAACUCUUCCAAUGCUGUCCAAAUUGAACGAUAAUUUUCUGAACAGAAGCUCUUGAGUUUUGGGAGAUUGCAAAGUGUUAAUUUUCUCAACAAAGGGAGGGCAAGCAUCGUAUUUCCAUCUCCGACACUUAUUUCCCCUUCAUUGUGAUCAAACUUUGCUUCGACAAUACAUUCCAUUCUCUGGCAUCCACUGACAAAGAGACUUUUAAGCUGCUUCAAACUUCUAGCUUGUGACAACGUGAAGAUAUAUGUCAAAUUGUUGCACCCAUACACACUCAAUUUUGUAAGAGCUUGGAGGCUGAUCACAUGUUGGGCGGGCGCCUUCCAUAUCCACUUCAGUUCUGGUAAUUGCCACAUAGAUAACUCUGCUAAUCUUGAGAGCAUCACAGGAUUCCCACUCUUUCCGUACGGCGACUUAGAGGCAUCCAUUAUGCAUUCUAAUUCUUUGCACUCAUUGGCAGAAAGACAAGGCAACUCAUUUAAGCCCUUUGGAUCUAUGCUUGGCACAAUAUUGUGACAACCUAUAAUCGUUCUUAAAUUAAGAAUUUCCAGUUCUUGAUACAAUGUCGAAAAAAUACCGAGCGAGGUCGCUUCACAAUUAUUAAUCUUUAAGCACCUUCUCUGUCCAAAAAUUUCAUCUUCUUCGUCCAUUAGAAAUUCAAGUUUGUUACCGUUACUGACGUAGUGCCUUUGCAAUUUCGGGAAUGUAAAGUCUUUUGGAAGACGUGCAAUUUUUUUGUCAGUAUGUAAAGUCUUUCCAUCGUCAUUUUCUUCUGAACUCAUCCCUUCAGCCUCCCAAUCUUUUAUCCGACCAUAAAAUUCUUCUAAUUGAGGAAAUUUUUUUAUCGUAAUGGGAGAAAUACGACCAGAAUUAAUUAAUAUAAGAAGUUUCAAUGUACUAAGUUGAUCCCCAAAUUCUUCAGGAAUUUCAAUGGGAGACCCCUUGACACAAAGGAUUUGAAGUCUCUUCAACUUUCCAAGGAAAGACGCGUCACUCAUGUUACAUCGAAUCAACUGCAGAACUUGGAGGUUGGUGAGGAAUUGAAGCGAUUUAAGUGAAAUGACUCCUCCUAUUAUAGUAACAACUUUCAAUGCUGGCAUCCCUUCGAAAAAAUGUUCUGGAAUAUGCAAUUGAUAGUCAUAUUCAGUAUUCUCCAGUCGCAAAAUAUGAAGAUUAGGGCAUACCAAACCACUUGGAAGCUCUUCUUUUUCAUUUCCCAUCAAAGAGAUUCCUCUGUAUUGUUCCACUGCCCGUUCUGCCAAUCCAAUGCCAACUUUACUAGUAAAAUAUUUUUUCUCCAUUGAGCCUAUCCAUAAGGCUACGUCACGUACAAUGUCAUGCAUUUUUACAAAUCUGUCAUUACCAGCGUCUAAUAGCAGUGAAGAAGCUUUGAGCUCUUUAAUCGUUCCACUCACUAGGCUCCUGGAAUCUUCGAUUGACUCAGCUUGAUACCAAUCCAACGCCACUGCAUAUCCAACCAAAUCCUCCAAAUCUAUCUCAUAAUCUUCUGGAAACAGCGAACACAACAAGAAGCAUGACCUGGAAUCGUCACCAUUCAAAUAAUCGUAACUAAACUUGAGACAAUGGUAAACGUCUUGGUCUUCCUUGCCAAUACCUUCUAUUGUAUUAAGUUUUGCAUUUUUUAGUUUAUGCAGAGCUACUUUCCAUUCACCAUAUCCUUUACCGCUUAGUGCACUUCCAACAGCUUUAAUAGCCAAAGGCAGCCCCUUACAUUCAUCAGCAACUCGUUCUGAAACACCAAUCAAUGAAUCAGCAUCAAUGCCGGCAUGCUUUCUUAGUAAAGCCAAUCCUUCUUCUCGCUUUAGAACACCUAGUUGAAUCCGCGUGUCACAACCCAUGCGAUCACAAACUGGCUGAAGGCGAGUGGUUAGAAGGAUUUUGCAACAAUUGUCUCUAUCACCAACAGGAAUACCUACUGUCUCCAAGUCGAGUUCAUUCCAGACAUCGUCAAGGAUUAUGAGGAUCUUGCGGCUUUUACUCUUAGAGAACAUCAAGCGCAAUCGGUCUGCUCUAUCAUUUUCAUCUUUCUCCGUUAAUGCCCAACCUAACGACUUUACCAGCUCACUUUGAACAUUUAUUAUAUUUGGAUCCCGAGAUAUAGUGGCUAUCCCUACGUCAUCGAAAAUCUUUUGCUGCCGAAGUUGAUUGCCCGCAAAUUUUGCCAAGGUCGUCUUUCCUACACCACCGAGGCCAUGCAGUCCCACCAUUUUUGUGCUUUCUCUUUUCAGUGAUUCAAUGAUCUGAUUGCAAGCCAGUUCUGUAGUCUCGAAAGACGUAAAAUGUCUUGGUGCGGGUAAUUCUUUGUUUGAUGGUAGAGGUUUAGGACGGGCAACUGUGCUGAAUUUGUCGCAUUUCUUUUAUAGAUCGGACAACUUGCGAGUCUCCUUUGAUGCUUUUCUACCCAGCCAAUAUAGGCAACGCCAAUUAGGACACCAUCCAUUAAGACAACUUUUGUUUUCAUCUAUCUUUGCUUUCAAAUUUUGAACAUUGGCCAUUUCUUUGACUACAUCCGCCAGCCACUUCUCUACAUCUUUCUCGACUACUAUGGCGCGGUGUUUUUGUCGAUAUUGUUCUACUUUUUCAUUGACGCCAUCUUGUGCCUCCUUCAAAUUAGUUUCUUUAUCCCCAAGUUCUUUAAUAAUGCUGUUGAAGCAGAACAGAUAGCGAGCUUGGUUUAUGGUUGCGUCCGCCAAUAAUUCUCCAAGCUUUGAUGAAACACCUGAUAAAAUUUCCAUGCUAUUUAUCUGCAAUUAAUGAAAUUGAUCUCAGUAUGCUAUAAGCAAUUAAAACAACAAGGCUUGAUUGCAAGAUCGAACGUGAACGUUUAAUUACUUUAAUUUUUUUUUGGCUUAUUAACGCCAGCAUUGAAAUUAGAUUACUUUAUCAAAACAAAUUUCAUAUUCACUAAAAUUAAUCAUAUUCAUAUUAUAAAAUAAAUAUAAAAACAAUAUCUGAAAAGUAAUGCUAAAUCCACUCUUAAAUUUUAUGUACCGCAUUAGAAUUGAUGAACAAUCUGACAAAGAUGCUCGACUUAAGUAGGGAUGACAAUUAAAGCCGGAUUUGAAAAAAUUCGUGUCUCCAAAUUAAAAAAUGUGGAUUCGGAUAUGGAAAUUUGGAAUUCACACGCAUCCAUAUAAAUUUUAUUUUAAAUUAAAAAUAUAUAUUAAAAAUUAAAUAAAAAACUAAAAAAUAAAUUUUAUUUGUGAUUUUAUGAUGUUGUUGUAUAUUAUUCAGGUUGAAUUAUUAAUGGUUGGAUUAUGAUUGAAUUUUAUUUGAUAUUAUUAGGUAAAUUAUUAAAUUUUAUUUAAAAUUAAAAAAAUAUAUUAAAAAUUAAAUAAAAAAUAUAUUUUAUUUAUAGAUUUAUGAGAUUAUUUUAUGUUAUUCAUGCUGAAUUAUUAAUUGUUGAAUUAUGAUUGAAUUUUAUUUGAUAUUAUUAGGUAAAUUAUUGAACUUUUAAAUUAUAUAUUAAAUUAAUAUCCAGAAUAUCCUCCAAUAUCCGUUGCGGAUAUUACCCGCUUCUGGAUCCACAUCUUUUUAUACGAAUUCAGAUAUAGAAAUAUGAAUGCGAAUCCGAAUCUAGAUUUUACCAACCUUGAACCUAAGCAUGAAUGGGCCUAAAGUUUUUACAACAAACAUGGAUCAUUCAAUGACACGAGAUGUUUUACAGCUCUCAUUAGUAUAAUUAAAUAAUUAAUUCAUCUCUAUAUUCAACUUACUCCGUCUCAAAUUGCAUGCAAAUACGAAAAUACACUUCUGAAUCGUUCACUUGAGGAAAAUUCCAAAUUCUCCACGUAGAAUUUAGAUUCAAACCAAAGCAAAUUAGACAUAAUUCUAAUUUAUAUGGGAAAUAUAAUUAGCGAAGACACUCUUUAUAUAAACAUUAUUGUCAUAGGAUGCCAAACGUAAUAAGAUUCAAGGUCUUAACAUACUUCAUAUGAAAUUUGAUCUUGGCGCGUACCGACACGCAUAACAUCGAGACUCUACUUCAUAUAAUGUAACUUCAUGGAUUUUUCGCUCUCUUGUGAAAUUGACAAUUAUAGGCGCUGUGUGGCAGUGGUACAUAAUAAAAUAAACGUUUAUUUUUAGAAUAUUAUUAUUUAUCUCAAUUUUUGAUUUAAUAGUUAAUCUUAAUCAAUUCUUAAACUGCCAUAAUCAAUAAAUUUUUUACAUUAUGGCAUCUUAAAUAAAUUUAGGAUAUGUAAUAAAUAAAAACUGGUAACGUUUGUUCUUUUAAAGCAUAAAACAACCGUAACAUUGGUUUUUACAUUUUGAAUUUUUCUUGCAUCACUGUUUAGAAAAAUGAUGUUAAAUCAAUUCACAAAAUAUAUCAAGCCAUCUAAAAUCCAAAUAUUAUUACAUUUGUAUUUGCAUUGUUAAAUUGUUGGAACGACGGCAAAGCAAUUGAAAAGAUAUUAACAAAAAAGUUACCUAUUGUUUGUGGUAGUAAAUAAUAUUAACUUGUUUUACUAUACCCGUGUUUAUGUUGGUCUCCUUUUUGUCCAUUUCUGUGCAACGAAAUAUUUGCAUGUUUUGAUAGAAAUUGGUUUAAAUGACAUUUAAAAUAGUAUAUCCCCAGACAAUUGACGAAAUAUUUGUAUGGUAAGAUGAAGUAAUAAAUAGUUUUACAAAUUACCAUAUUAGAGGUAAAAAAAAAUCGAGAGGUUACUUGACAAUUAUGACAUUACUAACUACAAAUUUAACACAAAAAGUUUAAUUAACUUUUCUUUUUGAGAUGGCAAAAUCUCUGGUGUUGAAAACAAUGAGGUUUGAGGUUCAAGCUUGAAUAUCAAGUUACAAUUAGUAGAUGGCCUUAGGACAUAUCAAAGAUUUCUUUAAAGACAAAAUAAUUAUUAUAAGCAAUAGGAAAUUAUGGUAUUCAGAACAUGUAACCUUCGCACAUGAAGCUUGAGUCCAGCAAAAGAUGCAGCUAGCCAAUCCUUCAACUUCCAAAACCCCACAAAAUCUCUGUCAAUAUGUCUGUUCUACUUCAAUAUUAAGCACAUUCAUAGCGGUAUCAACA
rnacentral:lncRNA from 1 species